rnacentral:lncRNA from 1 species
GUGGAGAAGACGAGAGGUGAGGGGCGACGGGCAGAUCCUGUGGAGAAGACGGGCGCUCGGGUCGGGUCUGCCUCUUUCGAUGGGUCGCGCGGUGGCCUUUUAGGAGUAAUAACGGUUCGCCCUUGGGGGAGAAGCUUGGGAAACUGGUCCGGAGCAGUUUCUUCCCACAGCCCAAUUUGCACUACGAUUUGGAAGGGCUUCUAGGAAGAGCUGGGUAGAAGUUUUGCCUUCUUUUGGGCUUCGGCUGCCUGGGACCUGGAAGCUGGGCUAGAAGCCCAAAAGAAGGGGGGCGUAUCCGGCCGGUGAAAACUCCGUAAAAACUAUUAUAAAAUGUUCCAAAAAUUUCUCAAAAUAAUUGCAUAUAUAUGUUAAGGAACUGAUGUUUUAUAUAUACGUACAAUUGUAAGUCCAAACUCAAUCCAGUCUAGCGGCAGUGAGAAAAAAAAAACAAAUUCAGCAUUAGCAGUUGUGCUUCACUGUUUGACAUUAUUCGCUGUAUAUUCCUCUUUUAAUUCUUUCUGGACGUAACUGAGUUUUGACUUGAAAUUUUCCAUGUUCAUAGAACAUCACAUCUCCAUUAUAUGAUCUUUUUCUAAAACCAUUAAAACUUCUAAACAUGUUUUUUAUAAAAUUUGCACAGAGUGCAUCAUAAAAUUAAAGUGGUUUUCACCUAAUAUUUUGCCUCUGAUUGUGAUGGGUCCAGAUUUAUGGGUGAUAGAAAAUCUGAUCAUUUCCUUUGUACAUACAACCCUUGAUAAGUUACUACAUGGAUGAAGACUAUAUUGACACUUAUCAAUUGAAAGUUAUUACAACUCGAUCGACUUGUCCUUAAGAAAAUAGCAACAAAAAAUUCACACCAAUUAUAUAUACAAUGUGCAUCUACAACUCAAUUUUACAAAAAAAAAACGCGGACUAAAAGUAAGAAAAUAAAAUCAACAAUUUAGUUUUCAUAAGGACUGUAUUGAAGUUCAAAAUUAGCUAAAUUUCAUAAGAAAAACUAAUGUACAAUUAAGAAUAAACAAUAAAAGGAAGUGGCAAUUUAGCUUGGACUAAAAAAAUGACUAAAUUAGUAGUUUGAUUUAUGCAUGAAAUUCAACCAUAAUAAGAGGUGGAAUAAAAAAAAUAAGCAAUUUGCUUUGAGUCAAUAACACACAAAGAUAUAGUGAAAGAUGACCAAUGUCAAUGUAACAUAAUGUAUUACAAAAUAUGUAGGUUUCUCGCAUGUAUAAACAUGCUUGGGUUCUUGCAAUUUGCUUUCGAGUCAACAACACAAACAUAUGUAGUGAAAGGUGUGAUCAUUUACCCGAGGCACCAGUAACCGAUAACGGUCCC